rnacentral:sRNA from 1 species
AUAUUACACGGACAGGAAGGGUGAGAAGCCUUGACCAGGGUUCGACUACAAGCGCAGCUUGUUGGACAGACGCCGAGCCCGCGAGGCGGCUGCCCGAAGGGCGAGCGUAGCGAGUCAAUCCCUUCCUCACCGCCA